AUUGAACGCUGGCGGCAUGCCUUACACAUGCAAGUCGAACGGUAACGGGCCUUCGGGUGCCGACGAGUGGCGAACGGGUGAGUAAUACAUCGGAACGUGCCCGAUCGUGGGGGAUAACGAGGCGAAAGCUUUGCUAAUACCGCAUACGAUCUACGGAUGAAAGCAGGGGACCGCAAGGCCUUGCGCGGACGGAGCGGCCGAUGGCGGAUUAGGUAGGUGGUGGGAUAAAAGCUUACCAAGCCGACGAUCUGUAGCUGGUCUGAGAGGAUGAUCAGCCACACUGGGACUGAGACACGGCCCAGACUCCUACGGGAGGCAGCAGUGGGGAAUGUUGGACAAUGGGCGCAAGCCUGCUCCAGCCAUGCCGCGUGCAGGAUGAAGGCCUUCGGGUUGUAAACUGCUUUUGUACGGAACGAAAAGCCUUCUUUUAAUACAGGAGGGUCAUGACGGUACCGUAAGAAUAAGCACCGGCUAACUACGUG
rnacentral:rRNA from 1 species